rnacentral:misc_RNA from 1 species
GAUGAAGAACGCAGCAAAAUGCGAUAAGUAAUGUGAAUUGCAGAAUUCAGUGAAUCAUCGAAUCUUUGAACGCACAUUGCGCCCGCUGGUAUUCCGGCGGGCAUGCCUGUUCGAGCGUCAUUUCAACCCUCAAACCCCCGGGUUUGGUGUUGGGGAUCGGCUCUGCCUCACGGCGGUGCCGCCCCCGAAAUACAUUGGCGGUCUCGCUGCAGCCUCCAUUGCGUAGUAGCUAACACCUCGCAACUGGAACGCGGCGCGGCCAUGCCGUAAAACCCCAACUUCUGAAUGUUGACCUCGGAUCAGGUAGGAAUACCCGCUGAACUUAAGAAUAUCAAUAAGCGGAGGA